rnacentral:misc_RNA from 1 species
CACAAUUUAUCAUGGCCAUAUCAAUCUUUAAAGUUAAAGAAGCUAAGGUUAACGAUUGCAUAGUAUACAGCUUUAAAGAGGAAGCAAUGAAAAUGUUCUAUCAUUACAUAGACUUAGUAUUUUAUUUUAUUAUUUAUAUUGCACAAUCCAAACUCUCUUAGGAAUGAUCUUGCACCAUCUGAUUUAGAAGGAAGUUACCUUCGUUGUUCUUGUGGACCUCCACUUUGAACUUCUCUUCUUUACUCCCUCUCUUCAGCUUUAGGAGCAAAUCAAACUUUGCAGCAUCUUCAAUCACUUCUGCCUUGGCAUGAAUGAUAUCCAGCAGUUCAUAUGGGAGUAGAGAAUUAGAUCUCUGCUGGAUGGUUCGAACAGCAUGCUGUGCUGCAUCCUGGACAUGAGGAUCAUGUGGUGGCACUUCUCGCCAUCCCUGGGGAUGAUCACCUUUCUUUGCACCAAGAUCAGAAGGAGUAAAUGAGGGGACAUCGCCUGCAUGCUUGAACUCUUGCAAUUCUUUGAAGUUCAUCCAUGACUUGACCCAAACCUUAGCUUCAUACAGCUUCUUUUUACCAGCAUCAACAACCUCAAGAGUAAGAUGGUGCAGUGUACCAGCUACUACCUGCUCUUUUGCCUUCACGACUCUCACAAACUCAAGAAGUGAAUUCUCUUUUUUGUUGUGUUCAUCGACGGCGAAACGAGCGAAUUCAUCGACAUCAACGCAGUUGGAAGUUCCCUGAGAAUCGUGAACGCCUCCGAGUGUGGACGCCAUCAGCAGAGGAUCGUCCUGUUGAGCGCAAAAGUGAGCUGAAGCGUUACCUGCAAGAAGGAUGAUCCAAGAGAGUAACAGCAGCAACAAAAACGUAGAUGGUAAUGAAGAAAACAAAAUCGGAAGGGAAAUGAAAGAACAGUGAAAAUCUCCUCUCUGUGAUGAACAAGGAUUCUUCGAUUUC